rnacentral:rRNA from 1 species
CCGGUAAACGGCGGCCGUAACUAUAACGGUCCUAAGGUAGCGAAAUUCCUUGUCGGGUAAGUUCCGACCUGCACGAAUGGCGUAAUGAUGGCCAGGCUGUCUCCACCCGAGACUCAGUGAAAUUGAACUCGCUGUGAAGAUGCAGUGUACCCGCGGCAAGACGGAAAGACCCCGUGAACCUUUACUAUAGCUUGACACUGAACAUUGAGCCUUGAUGUGUAGGAUAGGUGGGAGGCUUUGAAGUGUGGACGCCAGUCUGCAUGGAGCCGACCUUGAAAUACCACCCUUUAAUGUUUGAUGUUCUAACGUUGGCCCGUAAUCCGGGUUGCGGACAGUGUCUGGUGGGUAGUUUGACUGGGGCGGUCUCCUCCUAAAGAGUAACGGAGGAGCACGAAGGUUGGCUAAUCCUGGUCGGACAUCAGGAGGUUAGUGCAAUGGCAUAAGCCAGCUUGACUGCGAGCGUGACGGCGCGAGCAGGUGCGAAAGCAGGUCAUAGUGAUCCGGUGGUUCUGAAUGGAAGGGCCAUCGCUCAACGGAUAAAAGGUACUCCGGGGAUAACAGGCUGAUACCGCCCAAGAGUUCAUAUCGACGGCGGUGUUUGGCACCUCGAUGUCGGCUCAUCACAUCCUGGGGCUGAAGUAGGUCCCAAGGGUAUGGCUGUUCGCCAUUUAAAGUGGUACGCGAGCUGGGUUUAGAACGUCGUGAGACAGUUCGGUCCCUAUCUGCCGUGGGCGCUGGAGAACUGAGGGGGGCUGCUCCUAGUACGAGAGGACCGGAGUGGACGCAUCACUGGUGUUCGGGUUGUCAUGCCAAUGGCACUGCCCGGUAGCUAAAUGCGGAAGAGAUAAGUGCUGAAAGCAUCUAA